rnacentral:tRNA from 1 species
CUAAGGAUAAAGUUAUCAUCUUCAGUUUUGAGAGACUUAAGUAAGUUUUUCAUUUUUUAAGAUUCGGGCCUAUAGCUCAGCUGGUUAGAGCACACGCCUGAUAAGCGUGAGGUCGGUGGUUCAAGUCCAUUUAGGC